rnacentral:rRNA from 1 species
GAUGAACGCUGGCGGCGUGCUCAACACAUGCAAGUCGAACGAAGAAGAGUUGAAUGAGAGCUUCGGCAGGAUUUCUUCUCAUCUUAGUGGCGGACGGGUGAGUAACGUGUGGGCAACCUGCCCUGUACUGUGGAAUAAUCACUGGAAACGGUGACUAAUACCGCAUGUCAUCACUGGAGGGCAUCCUCUGGUGAAAAAAGGAUUUAUUCGGUACAGGAUGGGCCCGCAUCUGAUUAGCUAGUUGGUGAGAUAACAGCCCACCAAGGCGACGAUCAGUAGCCGACCUGAGAGGGUGAUCGGCCACAUUGGGACUGAGACACGGCCCAAACUCCUACGGGAGGCAGCAGUGGGGAAUAUUGCACAAUGGGGGAAACCCUGAUGCAGCAACGCCGCGUGAAGGAUGAAGGUUUUCGGAUCGUAAACUUCUAUCAACAGGGAAGAAACAAAUGACGGUACCUGAAUAAGAAGCCCCGGCUAACUACGUGCCAGCAGCCGCAGUAAAAC